UCUGUCUGUUUAUCUGCCUUUUGUCUUUACUGUAGAUUAAUAAUAUGCUUUAAUGAUGAUUUAAAAAAAAAUCAUGAUCAUUCAAAAUGAUCAUGUUCAUUUAACCACGUAUCAACUGGUAUAAAUUGUGAAAAAUAUGACUUUGUUAUCAGGAGACUGUGAUUGUUUUUCUGUCAGGUGAAGAAAAGUUGAAGAAAACUGAAGAAAUAAUCUUCAUGUAUCACAUCAUUUCAAUCUAUAUCAUUAAACAAGCUUUGUAGAUGAAGAAAAUAUAUAUUUUACUGUUUUAUCAGAAUAAGCAGAGAUUGUUUUCAGCAGAUAGAUGCUUGUUGACAGUGCAGGAGGUUUUUGUACAGCCACUUAAUGACUUUGUAUCACUGUGGUACACUUUUGGUGGAGGAACCAAACUCGUCGUUGACUUGGGUGUGGUGCGGCCCACCCUGACCGUCCUCCCCCCCUCCAAAGAGGAGAUGCAGCAGGGCAGUGCCACACUGGUGUGUCUGGCCAGCGGAGGCUUCCCCUCAGCCUGGAGUCUGGGCUGGAAGGUGGGGGGCAAAAGCAGCUCCUCAGGGGUGUCACACAGCCUGGAGGUCCUGGGGGGGGACGGCCACUACAGCUGGAGCAGCACCCUGAGCCUCUCUGCAGACCAGUGGAAGAAGGCGGGCUCAGUGAGCUGUGAGGCCGGUCUGAAUGGACAGAGCCCUGUCACUCAAAUCCUGAACCCUGACCACUGCUCAGAGUAGAGCUUCAGCAACACUUCCUGUCUGGAAAUGAUGCUGCUUCUUAGAGAUCGUGAUGAAGCUACACAUCUCCUCUCUUCACAUAUUUCUGCAAACUCAUGAUUUUGUUUUAAUGUGCAUGCAGCUUUCUGCAGCUAAUCUUACUCAUAUUCUGCUUCACAACCAUGAUUUUCAAAAUGUCAUUUAAAAAUGUAAUUGAUGAAAUAAAGCUUAUAGAUAACGUAUAAUAAA